GACAGAGGGUGCAAACGUUGUUCGGAUUUACUGGGCGUAAAGCGUGUGUAGGCGGCUUCGCAAGUUGGAUGUGAAAUCCCACGGCUCAACCGUGGACGUGCAUCCAAAACUGCGUCGCUAGAGUCUCGGAGAGGAAGGUGGAAUGCUUGGUGUAGAGGUGAAAUUCGUAGAUAUCAAGCAGAACACCUGCGGCGAAGGCGGCCUUCUGGACGAUGACUGACGCUGAGACACGAAAGCGUGGGGAGCAAAUGGG
rnacentral:rRNA from 1 species